rnacentral:rRNA from 1 species
UACAGAGGGUGCAAGCGUUAUCCGGAUUCACUGGGUUUAAAGGGCGCGUAGGCGGCAAUUCAAGUCAGCUGUGAAAUCUCCGGGCUUAACUCGGAACGGUCAGCUGAUACUGCUUUGCUAGAGUGCAGAAGGGGCAAUCGGAAUUCUUGGUGUAGCGGUGAAAUGCGUAGAUAUCAAGAGGAACACCUGAGGUGAAGACGGGUUGCUGGGCUGACACUGACGCUGAGUGCGCGAAAGCUAGGGUAGCAAACGGG